GUUCCGUGGUGUAGGGGUUAACAUGCCUGCCUGUCACGCAGGAGAUCGCGGGUUCAAAUCCCGUCGGGACCG
rnacentral:tRNA from 1 species